CGGCUGCGCGGGGCGCGAGGCGCGGGGCCGCCAUGAGGUAGGCAGGAGCCCCCUGUAGCCGAGUGAGGCAGCAUGGCAACCUGUGCAGAGGCUGCAUGCAGCGAUGUGAUGGGAGCUCAAGGAGGACGGCAAUUUUGAACGGGGAGAUGUAGAGCUCUGGCUGGGAUCUUGGGAUUUGCUCGGGGUGUUGCUGGAGCCAGCUAUGAAGGUGGAGGCAGUAGCCACGCUGGGCAGGAGGAGGACCCCAGGGAUGACAGUUCAGCACAGCAAAGCAGGGUAUCUGGUAUCUGCAUGGAUGGAAACCCCUGCCAGUGAGAUCUGCAGCCAAGCUUGUUGCUCCAAGGUGUGCUGAGGAAGUUGGAAAGAGGCACAGACUCAAGUGCUGAGGGGGGAAGAGUUGAUACCACAGCCUGAUCAAGGCAGGAGAUAAAGGAGGUGAGGUCAGACUUCUUCAGUAAAGGAUGGGACAUUUGCGGAAUGGAUGGUGUCGUCGUAAAAUUUCAUCUCAUUCUGGAAAGGCUCAAGAGAAGGUCAGCCUGCCAACCUGCUCCCUCUGCAGCCAGGAUAGCCCUCCUCAACUGCAAAAGCCAAGGCAAGCUGAUCCCUGCCCUCCUGCAAGAUGCCUUCUGUGCCUCUUGAAAAUGCUUUUUUGGUUGUCCUUGUAAAAAAAAAAAAAAAAAUGUUUGCAUAAUAAAGUUGAUUCUG